rnacentral:lncRNA from 1 species
UCAGUCUAGAGACAAGGUGAGAUGGGGGUGAAAUGGAGGAGACUGGUUUCACCUUGGAAGUGAUGCCUCAGAUGAGUUUUUAGAUAUGGCAGGGACUGAUUUCUCAAGGUGGUCCUCGGUAGGUUGGAUAUUCAGGGUACCGGAGGUACCCAAAAUUGUCCAAAUACCCCAGUCUCAAUUCCCAGGACUGAUGAGUGCUCCAGCUCUCCCAUGAGAGAUCUGGUAAGGUUGUGAAUUCACCUGUUGGUAGGAUUUGCUAGUGAACUAGCAAAACUUCAGUUUUCUGUUAAUUCAGUCUUGGCAGUUGCAAACUCAGAGAUUCUUCUACAAAGUAAGAGAAAGUUCCUGAUUCUCAGCUCUUGCCUUGACCUAAAACUUUAGGACUUUGAGCCUGUCGUUGUCUAUUGACUACCCAGCACUGUUAAGGGAGACCUCCCCAUCCCCAGUCGCCUUGAGUAGUCCUUGAGUUUCUCAAGUCUUACUGUUUUUAAGGUGGUGUCAGCUAGAACUUUUCCGGUUCCCUAGUCAGCCCACUAGACCUUGCUUCUGGAAGGAACCAUAUCUGGAACUGCACCACUCCUUUCUUGGCCAAGCACUUCUAGAAUUAGUUCUCACAUAGUUACGUGAUUUUUUUUUUCCAAACUUUUUUUUCUUUUCUUUUUUUUAAGGGAGUGCUUCUCCCUAAAAAAAAAAAAAAAGUUGAUUUCUUUUUGGCUGUGUUGGGUCUUCAUUUUGUCUCUGGUGUCCACAUCUCCAGAUAAGUGUUUUGUAGCUGUGUACCAGUACAUCCAGGGUCCCCUCCCUUGGUGCUGUCUAGAU